GAUGAACGCUAGCGGCAGGCCUAACACAUGCAAGUCGAGGGGCAGCACAGAAACAGCAAUGUUUUGGUGGCGACCGGCGGACGGGUGCGUAACGCGUAUGCAACCUACCUUUAACAGGGGGAUAACGGAGAGAAAUUUCCACUAAUACCCCAUAACAUCGAUCAAGGCAUCUUGAUUGGUUGAAAACUCCGGUGGUUAAAGAUGGGCAUGCGUUGUAUGAGGUAGUUGGUGGGCCAAUGGCUCACCAAGCCUACGAUACAUAGGGGGGCUGAGAUGGUAGACCCCCACACUGGUACGGAGACACGGACCAGACUCCGACGGGAGGCAGCAGUGAGGAAUAUUGGUCAAUGGGGGCAACCCUGAACCAGCCAUGCCGCGUGCAGGAAGACGGCUCUAUGAGUUGUAAACUGCUUUUAAACAGAGAUAAAGCACAGUAUGUAUACUGUGUUGAAGGUACUGUAAGAAUAAGGAUCGGCUAACUCCGUGCCAGCCGCCGCGGUAA
rnacentral:rRNA from 1 species